CAUACACCAGAGUUUUCUCUUGCUCUUUUUUCUGUGUAAGCUAAAACUUCACUUUCUCUUUUCAGGAUUCUCACCAUGGGACCAUUUUGUGUUGUAAUUUGGCAGAGGUUCAUUCUGAGUAGGAGGUUUGGACUUGUUUGCAGGAUAACUGAGUAAAUGACUGAGUCCUAUCAGUGGAAACUUAUUAGACUAUGAAGACUCAUUAGAUAUCGUAUGAUUGUCCCACAAAAUGAAUUUCAUUUUGACAGCUUACAUUGGAAAAGGUCACAGGAAUGGCAAAAAGAAAUGUAAUGAAUGAGAGAAUCUUUCUGGGUGUUUCCCUUUGUGCAAUGGUAACAAAUCCUUAAAAAGACUGAAAAAUCUUCAACAUUAUUUAUCUGGGCAAUGCAAUGAAGAGGAAGGUGAUCGCUGAAGGAACUCAAGCAUUCAAGGUUUGGCGAUACCAGCUCCAAACCUGUGGCCCUUUUCAGUCUG
rnacentral:lncRNA from 1 species